AUGUCUGUCCAGCAGUGCCACACAUGUGCUCCCUAUCUCGUAGCACCACACGUGCCACUGUCCGUCCAGCAGUGCCACAUGCAUGCUCUGUGCCUGGUGGUGCCACGCGUGUGCUGUGUGUCCAUCCGGUGGUGCCACACGUGUGCUCACAUGUGCUCCCUAUCUCGUAGCACCACACGUGCCACUGUCCGUCCAGCAGUGCCACAUGCAUGCUCUGUGCCUGGUGGUGCCACGCGUGUGCUGUGUGUCCAUCCGGUGGUGCCACACGUGUGCUCUCUUUCAGGCAAUGCCAUGUGUGUGCUCCAUAUCUGUCCAGUGGUGCCAUGCGUGUGCUCCCUGCCUGGCAGUGCUACACGUGUGCUGCGUGUCUGUCUGGUGGUGCCACGCGUGUGCUGCGUGUCUGGCGGUGCCAUACGUUCGCUGCCUGCUGGCAGUGCCACGCGUGUGCUACGUGUCUGUCUGGCGGUGCCAUACGUUCGCUGCCUGCUGGCAGUGCCACGCGUGUGCUACGUGUCUGUCUGGCGGUGCCAUACGUUCGCUGCCUGCUGGCAGUGCCACGCGUGUGCUACGUGUCUGUCUGGCGGUGCCAUACGUUCGCUGCCUGCUGGCAGUGCCACGCGUGUGCUACGUGUCUGUCUGGCGGUGCCAUACGUUCGCUGCCUGCCUGGCGGUACCAUGCGUGUGCUGUGUGUCUGGCGGUGCCACGCGUGUGCUGCGUGUCUGUCUGGUGGUGCCACGCGUGCGCUGCGCGUCUGGCGGUGCCACGCUGCCGGUCCGACGGGUCUUUGUGGCGAGAAUUCGAUGCGUGGGGAGAAUCCAUGCGUGCGAUGGACGAGCCCGUUCUGGACGUGGUACGGCGAAAACAAGGUGCUGCCUGCGGUCCUGAGCCACUCAGAUUGGUUACCGAAAUACACCGUUCCCAGUGCUGCCGACCCUUCCUUCGCCGUGGAUCUCUGGGCACGUCUCACAACGUUCCCAGCGUUACCAUCCAGUUCGUCCUGGGCCCAACCUGACCCUGAGGGAGGGGGACCUGUGUAG
rnacentral:lncRNA from 1 species